rfam:Tupaia chinensis contig112430, whole genome shotgun sequence.
UUGCUUUGAAGACAAACAAUAAAGACUUCAUGUUA